GGACUACAAGGGUUUCUAAUCCUGUUUGCUCCCCCAGCUUUCGUGCCUGAGCGUCAGGUCGUGGCCAGGACGCUGCCUUCGCCGUCGGUGUUCCUCCGGAUCUCUACGCAUUUCACCGCUCCACCCGGAAUUCCACGUCCCUCUCCACGCCUCAAGUCCGCCCGUUUGGAAGGCCCCCUCCCAGUUGAGCCAGGAGAUUUCACCCCCCACAAAACGGACCGCCUGCGCACCCUUUACGCCCAGUAACUCCGGACAACGCUCGUCUCCUACGUAUUACCGCGGCGGCUGGCAC
rnacentral:rRNA from 1 species